rnacentral:rRNA from 1 species
GCACUGGGAGCCGAUGAAGGACGUGGGAGGCUGCGAUAUGCCUCGGGGAGCUGCCAACCGAGCGUGGAUCCGAGGAUGUCCGAAUGGGGAAACCCGGCACGAGUGAUGUCGUGUCACCCAACGCUGAAUAUAUAGGCGUUGGGGGGGAACGCGGGGAAGUGAAACAUCUCAGUACCCGUAGGAAGAGAAAACAAAAGUGAUUCCGUGAGUAGUGGCGAGCGAAAGCGGAGGAUGGCUAAACCGCGUGCAUGUGAU